UUGAUAGCAGUGUUUCUCAGCCCUGUACCUGUUGUCUUCUGACCUGCAUGUUUAUAGCCUUUCCUUCUCCCAGCACACCUGAUUGAACUAAUCAGUUAAUUAAGAAGCCCUUUCAGAGGUAAAUGCAUGUGUUAAAGCUUAUAAAACUGCAGAGUACCAGGUGCCACAACCAGGACCGACAAAUGCUGCUUUAUGGCAGUAAAAAAAAAAAAAAAAAAACAAGGUUAAAAACAGGUAUGGAGUCAGAUCUUCAGCGCAGGUGAUCCAGAGCUGAUCCAGAGCCGGUCGAGAGGAGUAUAGCGCAGCGGGAGAGCGCGGGCAUGUCGGGACUCUUAUUUUAAAAGGUGGACUCUUAUCGUGUGGCAGAGAGCAGCAACAGGGCAGGAAGCGGGGCUCGGGAAGGGGACGCGCGGGCGAGUCGGAAGUGCUCAGACUCAGGAGCGGCAGCGGUGGACUCGGCGUGCGGCGUUGUGAGAACGCCGAGAGUGAGCCGGAGUACAGACCGCGAGGCUGGCUGGAAGAGUGUGGCACUUGCAGCAGACCUGGGAGGUUACUGAAGCAGGAGCACGCGGUGACGACGGCGGCCGUUGGACUGGUGACCGAGGGUCGAGCCAUACACUGUGGGCAAGCGGCUGCUGGUUCUGAGUACAGUUCUGACUGUGCUCAGAGCGGUCGGCUUCUAUCAUCUCCUACAGUACUCGGACAGGUGGCAAGAUGCCGUCACAAAAUCAAUUUCCGGGUCACGGAGGAGAGGAGGAGGAUCGGUAGGAAAAAGGAGACACUUUUGGGGUUUCUGGACGCAGCCUCUGUUUAAGACCUACAAUCUUACACCAAUUUGAGAAGUCCAACAGGUAAGGUUAAAGCGCCUUACACAUUUCCGUCACCGCCUUUGUGUGUAGAUAC
rnacentral:lncRNA from 1 species